CUCCGUCCAUAAACCGAGAUUGCAGGACUCGUCUAAUGGAAGAAAAUACUAUAAAUUUCAAGACAGGUUCACAACCCCACAAAUUAUUAGCAUUCCACUUGAAAGUAAAAGAGAGCUUGAGAAAAAUGGCCAUAACAAAGACCAGGUUGUUAGCCUUAUAAGGUUAUACAGUUAAAACACAAACGAAAGGGUGACAAACCUUAUUCCAGUUGUAAUCAUGGUACUCGAGCAAGGAAGGAGAAAAGGCACGACAACACCAAUGUAUUCUAUAAACACCUAGCUGGAUACAACUACUCUAUGGGAAGCAUUAUGUUGUGUUGUCUAGGGCUUAUAGGGACUGGUGUUUAUAUAUGGGCUAAAAGCUAGGGUUUCCAAAACCUAAACUUACUUUCUUAGUCUCUAAGUUAAGUAUCAUAAUUAUAGUCAAUUAAGGAUUCCAUCAAUUCUAUUUCCAAUAUAAGACACAUAUUUUUCAGUGAUCGAAUCACAAUCAACAUUGUUUCUCCAAUAUUACAUUCCUAUUACAUGUAGUAGACCACUUAAAAGUUGAUUUAUAUUGGAUAAAUCCAACAUAGACUUCUUAGUUUGCAUGACGUUUGAUAACAUCGAGAGCUAUAUCAGCCCGAUUAGUAGCCUGCAGCUCGACUUGUACGCCGUCCAAUUCGCCCUUCUUGUAAGUCGUCCAAUUCGCCCCUUAACUUUUUCUUGUAGCUUGCAUAAAUCAUCUUGCUUUUUACCCUUGCUGUGUCGGGAUACCUAUGAAUACGGUAAAGAACAUGAGCAAAAAUGACACGAGAAAAAGAGAGAAGACGUUUCUAGGUUAUAAUAUUACCAUGCAAUGAAGAAAAUCGUGUUUUUCUAAGAAUUGUCUGCAGUCACAUGGUUUGCAAUAAGUGGCGAAGCCAGGAUUUCUUCGGACGAGGGACAAACUUAAAAGAGUGCAAGGUUAAAGAAAAAUGGCAACAACCACAUCUUUUUGUGUAGUAAUAUCUUCCAUAAUUAAUCAAUACAAACAAAUUACAAUUGUUCCCGACGAUGUUUCAUGUUAUGAAAACGUCGCAUAAUAAGUUCAUUAUCAAUAAAAUACAUUUCUCUCAAUGUAACAAUCAUGCUAUCACUCAACCAUUGAUCUCCCAUUUUGUUAUGCAAUGGUGUUUUCACAAUCUUCAUAGCAGAAAAAGCUCUCUCCACCGAAGCAAUAGCAACCGGUAACACCAAAGCCAAUGUAAGAAGCUAGUACACUAACAUAUAGCUUUCACACCUCCCAUCCUUCACUAACUCUUUCACAAGAUCACUAAUUCCUCUCAAUGAUGAAAACUCACUAUGCAUCUUCAUAUCAUGAAUGUAAUUGUCAAGUUGAAUUGGAAGAUUCAUGAGGUCCAUACGAUCAAAAUCUUGAGGAUAAAGUUGGGCUAAAUGAACAAUUUUUGCUUUGUCAAAAGAUGCAAAAUUAUUCACCGGACUCAAAUAUGCCAUACAAAGAAGCAACUCGGUGUUUACCUCAUUGAAGCGAUCAUUCAAUUCCUUUAGUUGCAUAUCAAAUACUUGAAAAUAGAGGUCCACACGAUAGUAAUGGAAGUUUGUGAUUUUUGGAGCUUUACGCCUUGAUUUUAUAGGUACAAAAUGCAAAUCUUCCAUGUUAGGAAUGAUAAUAUCAUGCUCCUCACAAAACCUUUCUACAUCAUGAAACACGUCCCCAAAGUCAUCAUCUCUCAAGGAUUGUAGUCAUUGCUUGCAUACUUCCACUAAUGCCAUCGCAUUCACAAUUGAUCUUUAUUUGCAAUGCUUGUAAUAACUCAUUAGUAAUUCCCAAUAUAAGUUUCAUCAAGAAAAGGUGAAACGCAAAAUCAAAAGUUUGUAUGUCCUUGAAUAACCUAGUUGCUUCGCCGAGAUUAUCUUGGUUGUGAUCGCUUUUAAUCCAUUCAACCACCUCCACCACGACUUCAAACAUAACAAUAAUAUUAACUAUAGUACCAUAAUGCGAGUUCUACCGUGCAUCACAUGGACUUAUAAGACUACUUUCUUGAUUUAACCAUUUACCCGUUUCAAGCUUACCAAGAUCAAGAGCUUUCUGAAUUUGUUCUUGUUGUUUCUCUCUAAAUGCAUCACAACGCUUGCAUGACGAUCCAAUAAGAUUCACCAAACUACUAGCAUUGAUGAAGAAAUUGGCAACAUCCUCAUUUUCCUUUACCACAAAUAUAAGAGCUAGUUGGAGUUGGUGUGCAAAAACAAUGAAUAUAAAAUGCUUAAGGGUAUUUGUUCAAAAUCUUUAUUUUAAGACCAUUUAACUUACCUCUCAUAUUACUAGCUCCAUCAUAGCCUUGUCCCCAUAACUUGGACAAACUUAAAUUUGUUGUUGCAAACAAUCUCUCAAUGGCAUCUUCAAGUGAGCUAUUGGUUGUAGAAGAGACAUGUUGAACACCAAAAAACUUUUCAAUUGCUUCUCAUUUUUUGUUCACGUAACGCAAUACCACCACCAUUUGCUCUUUAGUGGAAGCAUUACGUGAUCCAUCAACCAAGAGAGAAAAAAAUGUACCUUCCAUAUAUUUAGUGAUUCCGUUAAUAGUUUCAAUAACACAAGUAUGAACAAGAUCCUUUUGAAUAUCGGAAGAAGUAUACUUAAGAUUUUUGGGAGCAUUCUCAAACAACCCUCCUAACUUUCUCAUUAUGAUCAGCAAGAAAUUACAUAAGUUCUAUAUAAUUACCCAUAUUGCUCGAUUUCAAAGAUUCAUCGUGCCCACGAAAAGCCAAACCUUGUCGCAACAACCAUCUUGUGCAAUCAAGUGCUCCACUCAGUAAAGUGUGAUAAUUAACGCGAGCUUCAUCAGUUUGCUUGAUCACAAAUGUUUCAAUGUGUUGUUUUUGUGUCAUCAAGUCUUUAGCUUGUUGCAUAGCUUUAUUAUGAAGACUUCCAACACUUCCUUCAUGGACUCGAAAAUUUUCGGGUCCUUUCCUCCAAUUUGUAAACCAUUUUUCAGUGAAGACAUCACUUCCACUACCACCCGCUUUAUCAAAAUCACAUUUAAAAAGAUAGCAAUAACGGCAAAAUGCAGCAUCUUUUACUACACUAUACUCUAACCACUUAAAUUUAUCAAACCAACCUGUGAUAAAACAUUGAUUGUCGCUAGCUUUCCUUGGCAUGAUGUGAGAUUUAGGUUGACAAGGUUCCUUUUGGAGGUAGUAUCUACGAAUUGCUUCACAACAAUUGAGUGGAUAAUCAAGCAUUCGACGUCUCAGUCCAGGGUCUAUAGGAAAAUUAGCUAAUAUUUCAUCCAACUCAAUAACCUCACUUUGUUGUGCACUAUCCGGAAUACUCGAAGGAGGACUACUCGGAAUAUUUGAAGGUGGAGGAGGACUACCCGGAAUAUUUGGAGAAGGAUUUAAGCACUGUUUCUUAUAGUAUCGUUCCAUUACGUAAUUGUAUAACGAAAGAAACAAAGUAUAUAUUUUAGACUCUUAAUUCUAGAGUAUACUACGAAUUUAAUUAAUCAGUACCAACAAUCAUAUGAAAUUAUGAAUAAUCAAGAAUUCAAUUUUUAUCCUAGAGUAGACUACGAAUGUAAUUAAUCAGUACCGACAGCAACAAUGCAUUUGAAUGAGGGUUUUAGUUGGUAGAAUUGGGGUUUAUUAUGUUAAUGUAAAUAUGAUGUAAAAGUCUUCACCAUGUUCAGCUUUUUUUUUUCUUGCUAGACUAUAUGUGAUUCAAGUUCCUAUAUGUAUAUAUAAUGUAACAAUCCUCUUUUAUGUACUUCAAAACAACAACAAAAAUCAAUAAUCAUAGUAUUCAUAUAAAUAAUCUAUAAUCAAUAACCAUAUAAUGUAUAACCCUAUAAUCCUAUAUCAAUUAAACAAAAUUUUGUAUUCAACAAUCAAUUAGGGUUUGAAAUAAAUAGAUGUAACUAUAAGGACACACUCAUUGCAUAAGUUCUUUCAUCUUCGUCUACAAACCGAGAUCGCAGGACUCGUUCUAGUCGAAGAAAACACAGUAAUGUAAUUUCAAACCGAGUAUUACAAUGUAGUCAGGUUCACAACCCCACAAACUAUUAACAUUCCACUUGAAAGUAAAACAUAGCUUCAGACAAAUGGCCACUGGGUCGGAUCAAUAGCCAGCAGCUCGACUUGUAUGCCAUCCAAUUCUCUCUUGAACCUGUCCUUGGAGCUUGCAUAAAUCAUCUUGUUUCUCACCCUUGCUGUGUCGGGAGACCUAUGAAUACGGUAAAGAACAUAAGCAAAUAUGACACGAAAAAUAGAGAGACGCGUUUAGGUCAUAAUAUUUACCAUCCGAUGAAGAAAAUCCUGCUUUUCUGACAAUUCUCUGCAGUCACAAAGUCAAAAUCAUAGACAGCAUAUCUGCAUUCAUUAUCAGGAAGGUUUGCAGUAAAGUCUUCGUAGCUUUCAGCUGGCCAACCGAGUUUCUCCACAAUCACCUCAUUUUUCUUCUCGUCAAUCUUGAACACUAUGAAGCGAUAUGUUCUCUUUGCCUUCAAUUCCAGAAACUUCAGCUUGCAGUCAUCAUCCACAGAAAAUCCAGACGCUGCGUUAGCCUGUUCAUAGGAUGAAACAGAAGAUAGAUGUUAUUCUUACGCAAUUUAUGUCCACAAAACCAACACACACUAGUUUUGAAACAAUAAACAUGUAUUCACUGUCCUACUCGGCCAAAAAAUAAAGCUCAGCAAUUCUAAAGAACACAAUUAAUAAUAUCUAAAAAUAGAUUGAGGAAAAGUGAGUGAGAGAGAGAAGGAACGAAUAAGGGUGAACGAGGGAUACAAAUGUGAAAGGGGUGUACGGAACGACACACAAAAUGAAAACUGAAAACAAUUUUGAAGUUGUUUUCACUUUCAAGUCUUUGUUUUCACAUAAUCUCCUUCAUUUCUCCCGUCACCCCUCCCACCACCUCCCUUCAUCCUUUCCAUUCCUCAUUUCUCCCAUAUACUCUCCCUCUACAUAAGCACAAAAAAUGAAAACUAAAAACUGAAAACAAAAUGGUUAUCAAACGGGGCAUAAAGGUUGCAAGCCUCCUUCCCUCCCAUCCGUCCUCCUCUUUUUCCUCUCCCUCUUUCUCUCAUUCUAGAGGUUCUAUCUCACCUAAUUUCUUAAAAAGUAGUACGUCAUGAAUACAUGAUACAACUUGAAUCCCUUCGAUUUAAGCCUGUACUAUGCAGGUUGGCCUAGAGAUUAUAUAUCUAAACCAAAGACCAGCAAUCUGAAACCGAGAAUGUUCAGCAUAAGGCUACUUGAGGUACGUUUCUUCCUUAGUUUACCUUCAGCCCUAGAUUACAGACUGCCCAUUACCGAUUUCCAUACAGUCCGCACUAGUGCUAUACUUGCAAGAAUAAGAUAAACACAAUUCAGCAUCGCAACAUCCGUAAGUAAUCAGAUUGCAUCACUCAAAUUAGUUCUUAUCUGUGAUCAGCUGGUUGACAUUGUUCCAGUACCGAGCACUUGAAUCCCGGCUCUCGAUCAAUUAACAGAAAACCAAAUGCGGGAGAUUUGACAUUGUGAGAAUCUAAAACAGCUUUCUAAUCAGAUUUAAAUCUCAAUGCAUCCAAAAAUUGACAACCACGUCAACUGUUAGACUAAUGGAAUCGGUGCAACGCAACUCUGUUCAAAUUUCACAAUAAACAAAACAGAUACCAGAAGACCAAAUAUAUAUAAAAAAACCACAAACCCACCACAAAGAACCAACCCAGAACUCAAAAGAUGAGGACUAUAUCUAUAUGUAUGUGAUCAAAGCUAAUACCUUCGUCUACUGACAACUAAAUGACACAAAAAUCAAAACAAAACCCAAAUUCAGAUCCGAUGAUCGAUAACAAUCGAUUGAAACAAGUGCAUCCAAAGCCCAUCGCAGAUGAUAACGAAGCGAUCAGAUCAUAACCCAAAACCCAUUAAACAGCCGAAAUAAGAGAAACAAUAAUAAUUAAAAAAAAAUACAAAAAGCAAUGCGCAGGGAAAGAGAAGCAGCAAAGAGAUACCGACCAUUGCGGUUGCAGAAAAAUCUAUCCCAAAACGAAAAGGAGCUGAGUUGCUGCGACUAUGGCAGAAAAUGGAGGACUGAUUGCUCUCUGGCGUUUGGUGUGCGCUUUGAAUGGCUUUUGCUGCCGAGACGGUGGUGGUUGUUGUGGCUUCUCUUUCACCCACCUUCCCACUCCCCCUCUAAAUAUCAUCAUGGAGGGCAUGUCAUGCGUGAAAACGGCGCAAGGAGAAGGUAGGUCUGUCCUAUCAUGGCUUGACGCGUGUGGAUCAGGGUUGCGAAAAGACUGAUAGGCCCUUGGCUUUUGUGGCGGGUCUUCCGACUUGCCCACCCAGCUGGAAAAUCGAGGCUCCUUUUUAUUGGCGGACUCAAAGUGAAUAAAACUUAAAGAAAACUAAUGAAAAAGGUUUGAAAACUUUGAAUUUUAACGAUAAGGACAAAAUAAAGGGUAAAGUGAAUAGUAACAUGAUUGACUUUUUUAUGUAAAAAUGUGGUUUUUCGUUAAAAUGAAUAGUACCGGGAGCUUUUCGUUAAAGUUCCCUAAAAUUUACCAUUUCAGGGGUAAUUAAUAAUCACUUACGGGUGGGCAUUUUUAAUGGGUCAACUGCAUGCGACAUGGGUUGAGUUAUUAUAGCAUUCUGUUAUAAUGGCUACAUGAGCAACUUGAGGUGAGGGCAUGGGCUUGAUACCACUCAGUCGAGCAAAAGUACUUUCCAUUAUAACAGCAUUCUGACAAUUUAUUCUUAUCUAUUAUAGAAAACAUUUAUCAUCUUAUAGUAAAUGUUUUCUAUAAUUGUUGAGGCCUCCAGAAGCACUUUUAAUUGUAAUCUGUCAUUCCAUGUUGGCUCAUGAAUUGCAUUGCUGCAUUUUUGCAUUGAUUUGGAUGAAAUGUGUAAAAAAACACAAAAAACCCCCAAAAAAAAAACAGUAACGGGUGAAAUGGGUGAUCCGUUAACUUAACGGGUUGGAUUUGGGUGACCCAUUAACUUAACGGGUUGGAUUUGGAUAACCCGUUAGCUUAACGGAUCAAGUUAAAUCCGACUCAAACCUAAUAAAUCCGACCCGUUUACAGGAUUAGUUAGUAGUCCAAGUUCCAACAGACUUGGUGGAGCCACCGAAUCGCCCUCCAUCGUUUGGGCCGGUGGAGAGGUUUUGGGCACUUUGGCAGCCUUUCUCUCCCCGCUGGAACUGCUCGAACGAGUCGUAAGAAACACAAAUGCUUUCAUAUUUUGUGUAUUUUGCGUGCAAAGCCUCAUUAAUUCACAGCCUACUCGUACUCAUCCUCCACCGUUAAAUCAUAACAGGCACACAAAAGAAUGAUUAGCUUCUAGAUGUAACUAUAAGGACACACUCAUUGCAUAAGUUCUUUCAUCUCCGUCCACAAACCGAGAUCGCAGGACUCGUUCUAGUCGAAGAAAACACAGUAAUGUAAAUUUCAAACCGAGUAUUACAAUGUAGUCAGGUUCACAACCCCACACACUAUUAACAUUCCACUUGAAAGUAAAACAGAGCUUGAGAAAAAUGGCCAUAACAGAGACCAGGCUUCUUAGUUUGCACGACUUUUGAUAACAUCGAGGCCUAUCUCAGUCGGAUCAGUAGCCUGCAGCUCGACUUGUAUGCCAUCCAAUUCUCUCUUGAACCUGUCCUUGGAGCUUGCAUAAAUCAUCUUGUUUCUCACCCUUGCUGUGUCGGGAGACCUAUGAAUACGAAGAACAUAAGCAAAAAUGACACGAAAAAUAGAGAGACGCGUUUUUAGGUCAUAAUAUUACCAUCCGAUGAAGAAAAUCCUGCUUUUCUGACAAUUCUCUGCAGUCACAAAGUCAAAAUCAUAGACAGCAUAUCUG
rnacentral:lncRNA from 1 species